rnacentral:rRNA from 1 species
UACAGAGGGGGCAAGCGUUGUUCGGAAUUACUGGGCGUAAAGGGCGCGUAGGCGGCCUUCUAAGUCGAACGUGAAAUCCCCGGGCUCAACCCGGGAACUGCGUCCGAUACUGGCGGGCUUGAAUCCGGGAGAGGGAUGCGGAAUUCCAGGUGUAGCGGUGAAAUGCGUAGAUAUCUGGAGGAACACCGGUGGCGAAGGCGGCGUUCUGGACUGCAACUGACACUGAGAAACGAAAGCCAGGGUAGCAAACGGG